rnacentral:rRNA from 1 species
UAGUCCGUACGAGCGCACCCUUGUCCUUAGUUACCAGCACGUUAUGGUGGGCACUCUAAGGAGACUGCCGGUGACAAACCGGAGGAAGGUGGGGAUGACGUCAAGUCAUCAUGGCCCUUACGGCCAGGGCUACACACGUGCUACAAUGGUCGGUACAGAGGGUUGCCAAGCCGCGAGGUGGAGCUAAUCCCAUAAAACCGAUCGUAGUCCGGAUUGGAGUCUGCAACUCGACUCCAUGAAGUCGGAAUCGCUAGUAAUCGUGGAUCAGAAUGCCACGGUGAAUACGUUCCCGGGCCUU